rnacentral:hammerhead_ribozyme from 1 species
AGUUAGCUGACGAGUCCCAAAUAGGACGAAAUGCACAUCCUGGAU